AUGGAGCCGGCCCCAAGAUUUCUCUUUGUAAACUGCUGUUCAUACCAAUGCAUAGUUCUUUUGUUUCUAUUACCCAGAAGAAGCAAAUGGUCCAUCAGUGACACCACCAACCAGACCGGUGACCACCAGGCUGAGGAGCUGCUCUUCCUCCUACACGUCCUCGAGUUCUGCAGUAGCAAACAACUCCCGGAUCUUAGUGGUUUGGAGCAACAGGGCUUAUUCUUGCUCAUGUUAAAUUUUUGGCUGCAGAAUUCACAUUUUCUUCAUUCUGAAACACAGACAGGAACAAGAAGACUACACAGUCACCCUGGUGAAACUGAGCUAUGACAGACGAGCUGAAGACCGACUAUACGUUCAAGUUCAUCAGAGGAAAAAGCAUCACUUGAAUUUCACUGGCAGGGACCGUCCCUGCUUGUGCUAACCUCCUACAUAUCCUGGUCCAGGCUUCCCACCUUCAGAAGAUGUUUGCCCCAGGGGCAUGGCAGUUUCUUAUUCCUAUCUCAUGAACUUUUAACCUUAAGAACAACUUGGUAGCUAUUUUAUAUUGACUCAUUAUUUGCUCUCUGGGCGCCAAAUGAUACUUAUUGUAACAAGGGAGGCUGGGAGUGAGCCAGUUUUUGAGUAACAUGAGAAGUUACAACUUUAAAGAGAAUAAUUCUGUCACUAACCUGUCCUCUGAAAGGAAAAAAGCUUAGGCAAAUUAGCCACUGUUUUCCACUCGACAAAAAAAAAAAGGACUUGCUCAAUUCUUACCUCAAAAAUUUAAAGACACAGUAAGUGUGCUGGUCCCCUCUUCUCUGGUGAAGAGACCAAAUGAUGAGGUCAGCUCCACCAGGCAGUCACCACUUCUGUGGUCCCAGUGUCCCUUCUGAAUGCACCAGUUUGGUUUUGAGUCUUGCUUCUGCGGUACAGAAAAGGUGCCAUUCCAAAGAGAAAAGGAUCUUCCACUCCAGAGAGAAAAGGACUAUCCAAAAGAUUCUUUAUUUUUUUUUUAUUUUUUUAUUUUUUGGUGAGAACGAUUGUUCCUGAGCUAACAUCUGUUGCCAAUCUUCCUCUUUUUGCUUGAGGAAGAUUGGCCCUGAGCUAACAUCUGUGCCAAUCUUCCUCUAUUUUGUAUGUGGGAUGUUACCACAGCAAUGGCUUGAUGACUGUAGUGUACGUCCAUGCCCGGAAUCUGAACCCAUGAACCCUGGGCUGCCAAAGUGGAGUGUGCAAACUUAACCACUGUGCCACCGGGCCUGCCUCCUAAAAGGUUUUUUAAAAUUUCAAAAUGAUUGAUGGGCCUUUGUCUGAUUACUGUUGUAUGACUUUUACGUGUCAAAAAUCCAAGAAUAAAAAUAUAGCACUUUCCUUAAACUAUUCCUUC
rnacentral:lncRNA from 1 species